AGGACGAACGCUGGCGGCGUGCUUAACACAUGCAAGUCGAGCGGUAAGGCCUUUCGGGGUACACGAGCGGCGAACGGGUGAGUAACACGUGGGUGAUCUGCCCUGCACUCUGGGAUAAGCCUGGGAAACUGGGUCUAAUACCGGAUAUGACCUGCUCUCGCAUGGGGGUGGGUGGAAAGAUUUAUCGGUGCAGGAUGGGCCCGCGGCCUAUCAGCUUGUUGGUGGGUAAUGGCCUACCAAGGCGACGACGGGUAGCCGACCUGAGAGGGUGACCGGCCACGACUGGGACUGAGACACGGCCCAGACUCCGUACGGGAGGCAGCAGUGGGGAAUAUUGCACAAUGGGCGAAAGCCUGAUGCAGCGACGCCGCGUAGAGGACUGGAAGGCCGUUUACGGGUUUGGUAAAACCUUCCUUUUCAAGCCGUAAGGGACGAAGCGACGAAGUGACCGGUACCUGCCGAAGAAAGAAGACACCGGACUAACGUACGU
rnacentral:rRNA from 1 species